UGUUGGAUUUAUUAAUCAUUGUUAUUGCUGUCCUCAGGACAAAUGUACAAUUUUCGUGCGAACGACCUAAUAGUAUUUGGUGAUGGCUAAAAGAUAUCAGAAUUGCGAAGAGCCAAGACAGUACAAAAUGCGAGUGCAUUAAUAUAAUGCGUCAGCCCCACACAACUCCGGUGAGAUAGUAAUUUUUAUUUUGUAGUUAAGGAGGAUGAUCCAGUGACAUUGAUUGGGCACGAUCGAUAUCAACAUUGUUAACAACCAUUCAAUAUGAGAAUGCUUUGAUAAUACCGAUCACAACGUUGGAACUUUAUCCAAAGCCAUCCGGCUACAAUACGUAUCACAGCUUAAGUAGAAUAACUAUCUACACGCCGGAAGAGAAACUAAGCUAUGAAGGUCGGACGAAAAUAUUAAAAAUUGCCUCAAAAAUAUCAGCUGCAACGAUAGCGUCACAGACCAUAGUGCGAAUCAUACCAUGGACAGGCCAUUUGAACGGAUCGGAAAAUAUCGAGUACGCUGAUACAAGGAAACUCUUUUCCAUAGAUUCGCCUGUAUUGCCAGCCGCAUACUCGACAUAUCUAUGGGCAAAGCACUGCAACAUAGAAAAUGUACCGAGUUGGAGAGGUUUUAUGGAGGUUUUUACGACGGAUAACACUAAUGAUGUUUCCAAAGUUGUUUGUCUGCCUCUUAUCAAUCAGCCUUCUUCCAAUAUGAGCACUAUCAACACAGCUUUACACACCGCUCUAGUUGAGACUCGUCGAAUUAAUCAGAAAAUUUGUUUCGAAACAUUCGACUAACUAUUGUACUAUAAAGCUUGUGCGAUUGUUGCUGCAUCACAGCAUAUACUGAAAAACGUUGUGGUUCGCUUGCUCAUGUCCUACUUGGGCUCAAUCGGUCACAUUAUGAAUGGCAGCGGACUUGAAGACAUCUGGGCAGUAACAUACGCUCCAGCAUCAGUGAAAAAGAUGUUGACGGGGAAUGCUUAUGCUCGUGCGAUGCGUGCUCAUAUCCUUGACAUUUAUCAAUCUGGGAGUAAUGAUCUGCCGUGAAAUCGAAGGUGAAAUACGUCAACAAUACGACGAAGACGUUAAAGCUUUUCUCCAAAGUUGGUGUACAGAACCUCCGACUAUCGGCGAUUGUCAAUCGGAUCCUUCGAUUACUUCGAUUACUUCGAUUACUUCGAUUACUUCGAUUACUGCGAACUUGACUACACAAUUGGCAAUUUUAAAAAAUCGAGGACCUACAGCACAACUAUGGGUGCAAUACUUUGAGUGUGCAAAGUAUUAAAGCCGUACAUUUUACAAAACCAAACUUCCAUCCGCAAUAUGACCUUUGUCAUUGAUGGCGGAUUCCUCCUGCAAAACAUCUGCUGGCCGCAUGGAGCAUCCUUUAAAAGAAUUUGCGAAUAAUACUACUCGAAUAUUAUCCAAAAA
rnacentral:lncRNA from 1 species